rnacentral:rRNA from 1 species
GAUGAACGCUGGCGGCGUGCCUAAUACAUGCAAGUCGAGCGAACAGACGAGGAGCUUGCUCCUCUGACGUUAGCGGCGGACGGGUGAGUAACACGUGGAUAACCUACCUAUAAGACUGGGAUAACUUCGGGAAACCGGAGCUAAUACCGGAUAAUAUAUUGAACCGCAUGGUUCAAUAGUGAAAGACGGUUUUGCUGUCACUUAUAGAUGGAUCCGCGCCGCACUAGCUAGUUGGUAAGGUAACGGCUUACCAAGGCAACGAUGCGUAGCCGACCUGAGAGGGUGAUCGGCCACACUGGAACUGAGACACGGUCCAGACUCCUACGGGAGGCAGCAGUAGGGAAGCUUCCGCAAUGGGCGAAAGCCUGACGGAGCAACGCCGCGUGAGUGAUGAAGGUCUUCGGAUCGUAAAACUCUGUUAUUAGGGAAGAACAAAUGUGUAAGUAACUAUGCACGUCUUGACGGUACCUAAUCAGAAAGCCACGGCUAACUACGUG